CUGGACUUUCCACAGUUCGACGGUAAGAACCCGCAGUUCUGGAAGGCUAGAUGCGAAACAUACUUUGAUGUGUAUGGGGUUCAGAGAGAUCUUUGGGUUCACGUGUCAAUGUUGCAUUUCACAGGAGCCGCGGCAUGCUGGCUCCAGUUGCACGAAUCGGACAGUAGAUCCUUUACCUGGGAGGGUCUCUGCACCGCUCUGAAUGAGAAAUUUGGUCGCGACCAA
rnacentral:rRNA from 1 species